GAGGCAGCACAGAGAAGGAGGAGGCAGCACAGGGGCUGGCAGCAUGCAGUUAACAUGCUGCUUGCGGAUGCUGUCCUCGUCCGCCUUACGGUCCCGGCCAGGGCACGCACAGAUCCUGGCCUCGAAGCACCGCCGACCCAGCACCUGACCACUAGGAGGCAGGAGAGAGACAGACAGGGUGACGAUGAUGAGGAUGGGGCGUCGGUUCAUGCCUCCCACACAGCUGGAGUUACACAUGAAGUUAUACAGGAUGGUGGUGAACUCUGUG